rnacentral:misc_RNA from 1 species
CUCUCUCUCUCUCUCUCUCAAUGCCCUGUUUGGAAGAGAGAUGAGUGAUAUUGGAUCGGAUUUCUCGGCGUGGGCGUCAACAAAAAAUCUAAAAAAAUUGGGGAAAAUGUCGAUUGGUAGAAGGAUUCUGAUUGGUGAACGUAAAAACUGUAAAAUAUCUGAAAAAUCAAAUUCGACGGAGCUGUGGAAGUUGUUGUGGUGUAGCGUGCAGAGGAUCAGCCGCGAGAUAGACGAGUAGUGCAAAAAUGAAAUUUAAAAAAGAAAAAAUGAAUGGCGUUAGCUUUCAGUGACUGUAGCUUUAUUUUCUCUCUCUAGAAAGGUAAAUUGUUUUUCGGGGAGUACGGUCGCGGCAGUGGUGUGAUUUUGAUGAUGCGCAAGCGCAAUUGCUUGUGGAUUGUCAAAUAGCUGGUGAAUUAUUUUUUAAAUUUUAUCACGGCUUUGGCAGUGGCUGACUGAUGGCAGAUACUUUGCUUUCGCACCAAAUUGGACUGUCUGCGCGCGGUACAGCCGUGCAGGGGCUCCUCCCCGCCUGAAAUUGUGCCUGCAGCGGCCAAAGCACGACGACGACGAAAGAGGAGAAAGAAAAAGAGUGUAAUUGCGCAUGAGCAGUUGGACAAAAGAUGCCCUCUUACACGUACCAAUGCGCUUUUUUCUUUUUAAUCUGUCAAACGUUG